GCCUGGGUGGCUCAGUUGGUUGGGCAUCUGGCUUCGGCUCAGGUCAUGAUUUCACAGUUUGUGGGUUCAAGCCCCUCAUCGGGCU
rnacentral:tRNA from 1 species